CUCCCAUCCCUGCCCUUCCUCUCCUCCGCCGUUCCCCAUCCGCCGCCAUCGCCGCCACCGCCGCCGUGCCAGCCCCGCACCACCGUCUUUCGCGUUGGCUUCUCCUUUCCCCAAGCCGCUGCUAUCCUGCUCAUCACGUUGACUGCCGACGAUGGGAGGAGACCCGGGGGAGCAGAGGAGGGAGGUGGACGACGGGGUGAGGAGGCACGAGGGUGAGCAGGAGGUGGGGGUCAGAGGAUGCAGCGGCGCUGGCUUCUCUCCCCGCGCCACCAUGCCGUUUGUUCUUCCUCCCUAAGGUUCAGAUCUGAAGCGGGAGAGACACACGCGCAAAGUGGCAGAAGAGGGAACAGGGUGAGGGUUGUGAUGGGAACGCCAGGACGACGGCGAGAAGUGGAUCUCUGAGCUGGCUGCCGGUCCUCUCAGGCCACCGAAGUGGUCUCAGGUGAAGACUUGUGGUAUAUUAGCUGCACGAAAUGUUGGAAGAACUUAAGAAAAUAAAAUGAUUUAUAUAGAUGCCCCAUGUGUUCCACUCCUAAGCCGCUUCCUAGGUACAAGAUUUCACUCCAUGCCAUAGCCGUGCAACAUGAUGGUGUAACAUACCAAAGUUAUUGGGCCUUGUGAACUGUGCAGGUUCGGGAGACAAGGAAGGAACCAGAUGCUCCCAAAGUUCUUCUGGUUGAGUCGAUUACUUACUAGCAAUGAUAUUCACAAUGGGAAGCCUUUAUAGCAGGCUACUUUGAUUGAUUCCCAAACUAUGGCUUAGUUACAAAUAUUUUGGUGGUGAUGUUUCAUACACCAGUCCAGUGUUGCUACCCAAUGAUGAGUUGUAUGAAGCACUUUGAAAUGCUUUGAAGAAAGUCUUUUAGGUGGUGGUUCUACUGAUGCUACUUCUGUGACAGCCAAGGCGUAGGUUGCAGCUCGCAGAGCUUUAAGGAGGAAAGGAAGACAUGAUUUCUUCUUGAAGAGGCCUUCAAGUGCAUGUGGAAGUGUAGCAUGCAAGCAUUAUGCGACAAUGACACACUGCUUAUCGUACGCUCACACCCUCUAAAGACCACAAUCAGACUAAGAAGAUGCUUAAAUAAGCUGUAAACCAAUAUAAGUCAUUCUACUAUAUCUGUACUAUUAUCUGUAAUACAAUCCACAUUGCAUUAUAUUUCCAGCUACAUCUCCUACUAA